AUAUCUUCUAAUUUAUCGGACACUUCUAAUUACCCGGACACUCUUUUGGGCAAUUUUCGUUGUUCUAAUACAACGGACACUCCAGUACUUUAAUAUUACAUUUUUUCUAAAUAUCCGGACAAUACCUUGAAAAGUUGAGUUACCAUUCAUAGACGGCAAGUAAGACUUGGAGUGCUGCAGUUAGAUAUCCUUGAGGGAUCAGUAACGGUGUUCGCCUCCAACUUUUAAUUGCUUCCGGAAGCGGGGGCGUAGCUUCAUUGCAUACUCUACUAACCGUAGUAGCUAAGUGACCUUUGACCUGCCCUUAUUUGUAGAAAAAAAUUAAUGAUACUGGCUGAAGAAAACAGAUGAUACUGGAUGGAUAAACUGAUCCAAAACUGGGAUGAUACUGUGUGUGAUGUUUCUGGAUGUGAAAACAAGGGAAAGUGAUAUGAUACUGAUGUUCCUGGAUGGAUGAAAACAAUGAAGAGUUAAUUAAUCGAGUGAAUAAUACAAUCAUGAUUGAUGGAUGGACAGAUAGAUGAUUUUGGCUUAGACUGGAUACUGUGUGGCGAUGUCAGCCAUUACUUGGGUAAAGGCAGCUUGUUUCGAUUGAGGGGUUGACAGUCGCUCUCUCCACAUGAACUCGUCAAGCUCUCAAUGUUUUGUGUGUGUACCCCUGUGACGCUGUUCACAAACUCAAUACUGUGGUUGACGGUGCCAUGGGAUCCAACAUUUGGCAACGAUGCUACAUUAUUGUAAGCGGCCCAACAGUCGGAAUGUAUCACUGUGCCUGGUUGAACAUGUGCCUGUAUUAUAGGCAAGAGUGUGACUGCUCUUCUAUCUGCCACUAACUGGACAAAGCCAGUGGCAGGGGUUGUUGACAUGUCAGCCAACCCAAACACCCACAAGUCACUCCUGGGUCGCCUACCCCGUCCACCCUAUUGUGUUUAAGUGUUUACAAUAUUAUUGUGAGCACAAUUUUACCUUAGGUUUGUGUCGGAACAGACUUUCAUCGAUCUGAACAAUAACACCAGCUCCUCCAAGACGGAUAACAGUUGCGAUCAGCUUUGCUGAGCAUACCUCUCUGAGCCAUUGGUAUAUAUCACACCCCGUGGAUGGUCUCACCUCAGCCUCCAUUGCCAUGUCUGUCACAGGGUAUUCUCUGGACCACCACAAAAUGGCUACCAACCACUGUUGGAGAGUAAUCCUACUCUUAGAGAAGAAACUGAGGUGUCUGAUGCUCCUGGUGGUCUUACAUUGUGGGCAGGACCAACAGACACCAUCCGAGCCUGAUGAAGACCUUCGCCGUUCGAUCAUUGGAAUAGCACACCUAUUUUUGUUUAUUAUUUUGAUCACACCUAUUUUUCCUUUUAUUAUAAUUAUGCUUAUUAUGGA